rnacentral:rRNA from 1 species
GACGAAGAAUGCAAGCGUUAUCCGGAUUCAUUGGGGUUUAAAGGGAGCGUAGGUGGCCUUAUAAGUCAGUGGUGAAAUCUCUCGGCUUAACCGAGAAAUUGCCAUUGAUACUGUAGGGCUUGAGUAUAGUUCCGUUGGCGGAAUAUGACAUGUAGUGGUGAAAAUACAUAGAGAUGUCAUAGAACACCAUUGCGAAGGCAGCUGACGAAACUAUAAACUGACACUGAGGCUCGAAAAGUGCGGGGAUCAAACAGG